rnacentral:sRNA from 1 species
UUGCCAAUUCCAGAAACUGAAGAUCUUUGUUAUUCACAUGCCAGAUACAGCAUGAGCAGUGUCAGUCAAAGCUUCUGUCAUGCUGUUUCCUUCCAGAUGGUUCAGUCUUACCCUUUUGGGACUUGCCUCCGAGGGUGAGAAGGUAGUUCAAGUCCCACGGCCUGUUCAGUCUUGAGUGUUU